GUGCACCAGUCGAGAAACCUCCGCAAUACACGAAAGUGUGACGGGGCCAUCCCGAGUGCCGUCCGCUGAGGACGGCUUUUCCCCAGUGUACACAGCUGGGGGAAUAAGGAGAGGGCAAGCCUGGUGUCAGCCGCCGCGGUAAUACCAGCUCUCCGAGUGGUGGGGACGCUUAUUGGGCCUAAAGCAUCCGUAGCCGGCUGGGCAAGUCCUCCGUUAAAUCCAACGAUUCAAUCGUUGGGCUGCGGGGGAUACUGUCCAGCUUGGGGGCGGGAGAGGCCGACGGUAUUCCCGGGGUAGGGGUGAAAUCCUAUAAUCCCGGGAGGACCACCAGUGGCGAAGGCUGUCGGCUAGAACGCGCCCGACGGUGAGGGGAUGAAAGCUGGGGGAGCGAACCGGAUUAGAUACCCCGGUAGU
rnacentral:rRNA from 1 species